rnacentral:rRNA from 1 species
GACGAACGCUGGCGGCGUGCUUAACACAUGCAAGUCGAACGGAAAGGCCCUGCUUUUGUGGGGUGCUCGAGUGGCGAACGGGUGAGUAACACGUGAGUAACCUGCCCUUGACUUUGGGAUAACUUCAGGAAACUGGGGCUAAUACCGGAUAGGAGCUCCUGCUGCAUGGUGGGGGUUGGAAAGUUUCGGCGGGUGGGGAUGGACUCGCGGCUUAUCAGCUUGUUGGUGGGGGAGUGGCUUACCAAGGCUUUGACGGGUAGCCGGCCUGAGAGGGUGACCGGCCACAUGGGGCCUGAGAUACGGCGCAGACUCGUACGGGAGGCAGCAGUGGGGAAUAUUGCACAAUGGGCGGAAGCCUGAUGCAGCAACGCCGCGUGCGGGAUGACGGCCUUCGGGUUGUAAACCGCUUUCGCCUGUGACGAAGCGUGAGUGACGGUAAUGGGUAAAGAAGCACCGGCUAACUACGUG